ensembl:snoRNA
GAGCGAUGAUGUAAAAUUACUGAACCUGAAGUGUAUUUAAUCAAAAUACAUUUCAUGAUGGUUUCUACACUUGAACUGAGCUCA